rnacentral:rRNA from 1 species
AAGGAAUAUUGGUCAAUGGACGCAAGUCUGAACCAUCCAUGCCGCGUGAAGGAUGAAGGUCCUCUGGAUUGUAAACUUCUUUUAUCUGGGACGAAAACGGGAUUUUUAUCUCAAUUGACGGUACCAGAGGAAUAAGCACCGGCUAACUCCGUGCCAGCAGCCGCGGUAAUACGGAGGGUGCGAGCGUUAUCCGGAUUUACUGGGUUUAAAGGGUGCGUAGGUGGGCUUAUAAGUCAGUGGUGAAAUCUCCGAGCUUAACUUGGAAACUGCCGUUGAUACUAUAGGUCUUGAAUUAUCUGGAGGUAAGCGGAAUAUGUCAUGUAGCGGUGAAAUGCUUAGAUAUGACAUAGAACACCAAUUGCGAAGGCAGCUUACUACAUAUAAAUUGACGCUGAGGCACGAAAGCGUGGGGAUCAAACA